rnacentral:lncRNA from 1 species
UUUGGAGCCUCAGCUGCGAGCUGGCUCACCCUGGCGUGGGGUCAUGGUUCACUGCACACCUUUCUUUGCUGGUCUCCAUCACUGUAUAGUUCUCCCUCUUUCCCUCCCUGCAGAUAUUCUCUGUUUCUGCCUGGUGAACUCAUGGCUGGAAAGUUCUCAGCAUCGCUAACUGUGAGUUAUUGACAGACGUCCUCUGUGGCCGCAGGACGCCCCGUGCUGGGCAGUGGGAGGCUCACUGGGGACACCUGUGGGGAGAUCAGUACAGAGCCUCCAGCUUGUUAGCCCUGCAAGGAAGCGACAGAGCUGUUUUAUAUGCUGCUCCUUCAAGGCAUCGCACUACAUACAAGUAGAAGAUCUAAACUUCAAACUUGCUUCACAAGAGGCAGAACUGCAACUGAAAAAUCAAGAUGCUGAAGCUUUGAUCGCUAAGAUAGGAUUUCAGACUGAGAAAGUGAGCCAAGAAAAGGCCAUUGUCAAAGCAGAGGAGCAAAAGUUUGUGUGCUUUGAAUGCUUCCAGCCAGAGAGAUUCACAGAGGAAGAUGCAUGUACCAUUGCCUUUUAAGACGGGAACACUCCCAGAAGAAGAAAUCAAACAGAGCAGGUUGCAGGUUAAUCUUACAGAACUGAAAGCCUUCGCCAACACACCAGUAACUGCAACCAAUGGUGUACGAUGGAGUCGAGAUGUUGUGCAUCGGUCCAGGAGAAUACUAAAUUAGGAACAGCUAAAGAGAAUCUACAUGCAAUCAAGAAGAAGCUUACUGUAAGCAAUACUUUAUUUAUAAGCAUACUUCUCUAAUGUCUUGAGCCCAUUCAAUUUAACUACUUUAUUUAUUUAUUUUGUUUUUAUUUUAAUUGAUGUUAUUACUUCCUAGCUAAAGUAUUAAGGAUAUAUUUACAUUGAGCAUUGUCAUUAUUUUUUCCUACUGUACAACAUUCAGUGGUUUUGGUGAGAAUACAUGAAACUGUUCCUAAGAAAUGGCUGAAUAUCCUGAAAGUCAUCUGGAUGUGUUACCCAAAUAGAUUAGUAAACCAAAAUGAGAGUUGGUACAAAUAAUUGGUUAUGAUUUUUACUACAUAUAUAUGCUGAGUGUUUAUAGGUAAGCUAUUGGACUAUCGGAAUAACUACUGCAAAGGACUGUGGCACCUCCAGCUCAUCUGUGCUCAUGCUUGUCAUUAAAGUAUCACCAGAUCUCCUCUGAUUUUUUUGAAAGGCCUCCAAACACAUACACAUGCGCACGUGCAUUACAAGUGGAAAAUUUGACUAUGCACUUUUACUGACAAAAAUCUUUUUUAUUAAAGACUGAACAGAAGAUUAUGUUUACCAGCAAGUACCCAUC